rnacentral:rRNA from 1 species
UACGUAGGGUGCGAGCGUUAAUCGGAAUUACUGGGCGUAAAGCGUGCGCAGGCGGUUCGCUAAGACAGAUGUGAAAUCCCCGGGCUUAACCUGGGAACUGCAUCUGUGACUGCAUCGCUGGAGUACGGUAGAGGGGGAUGGAAUUCCGCGUGUAGCAGUGAAAUGCGUAGAUAUGCGGAGGAACACCGAUGGCGAAGGCAAUCCCCUGGACCUGUACUGACGCUCAUGCACGAAAGCGUGGGGAGCAAACAGG